rnacentral:rRNA from 1 species
GACGAACGCUGACGGCGUGCUUAACACAUGCAAGUCGAACGAUGAACCCGGAGCUUGCUCCGGUGGAUUAGUGGCGAACGGGUGAGUAACACGUGAGUAACCUGCCCUUGACUCUGGGAUAACUGCGGGAAACUGUAGCUAAUACCGGAUACGACCCUCGGCGGCAUCGCCAGGGGGUGGAAAGAAUUUCGGUCAAGGAUGGACUCGCGGCCUAUCAGCUAGUUGGUGAGGUAACGGCUCACCAAGGCGACGACGGGUAGCCGGCCUGCGUGGGUGACCGGCAACGCUGGGACUGAGACACGGCCCAGACGCCUGCGGGAGGCAGCAGUGGGGAAUAUUGCACAAUGGGCGCAAGCCUGAUGCAGCAACGCCGCGUGAGGGAUGACGGCCUUCGGGUUGUAAACCUCUUUUAGUAGGGAAGAAGCGAAAGUGACGGUACCUGCAGAAAAAGCACCGGCUAACUACGUGCCAGCCGCCGCGGUAA